rnacentral:rRNA from 1 species
AUUUUAAAAUCAAUAAUGAAAUUUUUUUAUUUGGAAGAAACAAUAAUUUAAUUAAGGACAAGAAGACCCUAGAAUUUUAAAAUAUAUUUAAAUAUUUAUAUUUAAAUAUAUUUUUAAUUGGGGCGGUUAAAAAAAUAAAUAACUUUUUUUAAUAUCAAAAUGAACCAUUAUUAAUGUAAAAUGAAAAAAUACUAGGGAUAACAGCGUAAUAAUUUUUGAUAGCUAUAGACAAAAUAGUUUGCGACCUCGAUGUUGGAUUAGGAUUCUUUUUUAAUGAAGAAGUU